rnacentral:tRNA from 1 species
GCGUUGUAGCAAAGUGGUUACUGCGUUUGACUCGAAAUCAAAUCCCUUAGGGGGCGUAGGUUCGAGUCCGUGAGUGAUUACCAACGAACA